rnacentral:sRNA from 1 species
AGCAGCCGCGGUAAUUCCAGCUCCAAUAGCGUAUAUUAAAGUUGUUGCAGUUAAAAAGCUCGUAGUUGAAUUUCGGGGUUAGUAGAUCGGUCGUGCCACUGGUAUGUACUGGUCUCACUGAUUCCUCCUUCCUGAUGAACCGUAAUGCCAUUAAUUUGGUGUUGCGGGGAGACUGGACUGUUACUUUGAAAAAUUGAGUAGUUUAAAGCAGGCUAACGCUUGAAUACAUUAGCAUGGAAUAACGGAAUAGGACGUUCGAAUCUUAUUUUGUUGGUUUCUAAGAUUUGACGUAACGAUUAAUAGGGAUAGUUGGGGGCAUUAGUAUUCAAUUGUCAGAGGUGAAAUUCUUGGAUUUAUUGAAGACUAACUACUGCGAAAGCAUUUGCCAAGGAUGUU